rnacentral:snRNA from 1 species
AAAACUUUUCAAAAAAAAAAAUCUGUUCUUAUCAGUUUAAUAUCUGAUACGUCCCCUAUCCGGGGGACUGCAUAUUAAAUGUAUUUUUGGAUCAUGGAGCUGGAGGUGGGGCUUGCUCCGUCCACUCCAAGCAUCGGUCUGGUAUUGCAGUAUCUCCAGAAACGGUGUGCUUCCC